CUCUUCAAGUUCACACAUGUUCUCUCGGGCAAACAAAUGCACACGUUCAACACGUGCAGCAUCCUAAAGACGGCGCUUCAAUCACAGGUAAAAUUUUGCAUGAUCGUGACGCAUCCCUGAAGGAGGGAAAACAGCGGAUGUUUAUAUAUAGAAUGGUUUUCAGGGGUGAAUUUCCAACAUGUGAAUAAUUCAUGAGCCUUUAUUACUGUUAUCGACCAUUUCCUGUGUCCUCUCGCACGGCCAAACCUAACAGAUAAUGUCUUCCUCUGAUAGAGGGGUGAUUGAUAUAAGUGCAGGUUUGCUUCCGUACGGGACUGUUUUCCCCUUCGACAAGGUUUCCUGCUCUUCCCACUUCUUUUUUUCUCUCUCUACACACACACACACACACGCACACUCUCAAAUUCACUCUGCUCCACUGCAUCCCAAGGAGGCGUAUUAGUAAUCCAUCAAUGCUAUUUCCAGUCCGUGGUCUCGCUGGCUGGCAGGGAGGAAAAAGGAUUGGAGGAGAGACCUUGGACGCAGACAGUCCUUCGGCUUGCCAUCGUGGCAAAAUAAUCACACAAAGGUGUCUGUGUGUCCCUAGCCCGGACUUCUGGAAAAAGGGGGAUGUGAGCGGAAGAGAUAAAGAAGCAUGAUGUUUCGCCGUGGGACUUCCAGUCUCCAGCUCCGCCUUGGCGUGAGGAUUCCCUGUCUCCGCCUCCAGCCUCCGAGCCCUGGACUCCACCUCGGUCCUUCAACCCAUCGGCUCCACCUUGGCUCUUAACACCCUCAUCUCCACCGUGGCCCGGCAUCCCACCAGCUCCACCGGGUUCCCUCGUCCCUCCGGCUCCACCUUGGUCAGUCGUCGACCAUCCGCCGCCUCGGGACUCCAUUCCUGUGGCUUCGCCUCAUCACUCCAUCCCUCCGGCUCUAUCAGGCUCCUCCUUCCCUCCGGUUCCACCUCCAUCCUCAGUCACUCCGUCUCUGCAGCGGUCUUCUGGGGCCCCGCCUCCACCUUGGUCGCCUGAGCCUUCUGCUCUGCCUUGGACCUCCGGAUCCUCUGCUUCACCCUGGCUCUCCGUCUGCUUGACUCCAACCUGGGCCCCUCAUCUACAGGCGGAGUCUAAGUCAGUUGACCCCUGGUGUUGUCGGCUCCUCUUCCACCAUGGCUCCUCACGCUGUCGACUCCACCAUGGGUCAGCAUCCUGGCUGGUCUCUGGAUGACCAUCUUGCUUCUCUUGCUCCGGGCUCCUCCCUCCAUCCACUCCACCCUGGUUCCAUGCUCCAUGCGUCCUCUCCAUUGCCUCCCCCACGCCCGCCUCCAGAACCCCCACCCUCCCUCCGCUGGAAUAUCUCUUUCAGUGCAAGGACGCACUGUUCCGGGAGGGGGCAAACUGUCACGAUCAUGGACUAUCUGUUUUUAUUGUGUUUCCUUAUUUUGGUCAUGUCCCGUUCUUUGUUUUAUUAAUUGUUUGAUCCCCACCUGUUUUCCAUUCCCCUGAUUACUUUCCUUGUGUUUAAAUACCCUGUCUGUUUAGUUCCUCCUGGUCCGCGAUUAAUGAUAUUAAAUAUUUUGUGUCCAGCUAUUAUGUCCUGAAGUUCUGAUAGUUGAAGAUUUGUGUUAGAUGUACCCUUUUCUCCCGUGAUUAUUAAAAUACUCUUUUGAUUUAUA